rnacentral:rRNA from 1 species
AUUGAACGCUGGCGGCAGGCCUAACACAUGCAAGUCGAGCGGUAGCACAGAGAGCUUGCUCUCGGGUGACGAGCGGCGGACGGGUGAGUAAUGUCUGGGAAACUGCCUGAUGGAGGGGGAUAACUACUGGAAACGGUAGCUAAUACCGCAUAACGUCGCAAGACCAAAGAGGGGGACCUUCGGGCCUCUUGCCAUCAGAUGUGCCCAGAUGGGAUUAGCUAGUAGGUGGGGUAACGGCUCACCUAGGCGACGAUCCCUAGCUGGUCUGAGAGGAUGACCAGCCACACUGGAACUGAGACACGGUCCAGACUCCUACGGGAGGCAGCAGUGGGGAAUAUUGCACAAUGGGCGCAAGCCUGAUGCAGCCAUGCCGCGUGUAUGAAGAAGGCCUUCGGGUUGUAAAGUACUUUCAGCGGGGAGGAAGGUGUUGAGGUUAAUAACCUCAGCAAUUGACGUUACCCGCAGAAGAAGCACCGGCCAACUCCGUGCCAGCCGCCGCAGUAA